rnacentral:rRNA from 1 species
CCUACGGGAGGCUGCAGUGGGGAAUAUUGGGCAAUGGAGGAAACUCUGACCCAGCAACGCCGCGUGAAUGAUGAAGGUCUUCGGAUUGGAAAGUUCUUUUCUAAGGGAAGAAGAAAGUGACGGUACCUUAGGAAUAAGCCUCGGCUAACUACGUGCCAGCAGCCGCGGUAAUACGUAGGAGGCGAGCGUUAUCCGGAAUGACUGGGCGUAAAGGGUGCGUAGGUGGGUUUGCAAGUUAGUAGCGUAACUACAAGGCUCAACCAUGGAAGUACGACUAAAACUGUUGGACUUGAGUGCAGGGAGGGCAGGCGGAAUUCGUGGUGUAGCGGUGGAAUGCGUAGAUAUUAGGAGGAACCCCAGUGGCGAAGGCAGGUUGCCAGAGCGUUACUGACACUGAGGCACGAAAGCGCGGGUAGCAAACAGGAUUAGAUACCCUGGUAGUC